CCCCCCCCCAACCUGUGCAACCCCCUCCUUACAGACAGGUUCAUAACCAUCGUAUAUGCUCACCUCUCGGUUACAAUGUAUCAAUCUGUCAGCAUCCUGGAGGAGGGGGGCUAGAGCCCAUGUUGUCAGUCUCCUCUCAGCUUAUUCAGAGGGUGCCCGGCUAAAUGGUGGGGUCCGGCCGGGUCUCCUCAUAGCAAAUCAAUAGAGCCUGCCAGAGCAGAGGGGUAUGAUCCGUGCACCCACAUUACACUAACUACCUACACACAGCGCAGUCUCACUGCAACAAAGCAUUGGGGGGAAACAAGGCUGGACCAAACCAAG